GACGAACGCUGGCGGCGUGCUUAACACAUGCAAGUCGAACGGAAAGGCCCUGCUUUUGUGGGGUGCUCGAGUGGCGAACGGGUGUGUAACACGUGAGUAACCUGCCCUUGACUUUGUGAUAACUUCAGGAAACUGGGGCUAAUACCGGAUAGGAGCUCCUGAUGCAUGGUGGGGGUUGGAAAGUUUCGGCGGUUGGGGAUGGACUAGCGGCUUAUCAGCUUGUUGGUGGGGUAGUUGCUUACCAAGCCUGUGACGGGUAGCCGGCCUGAGAGGGUGACCGGCGACAUGAGGACUACGAGACGCCGCAGAAGCCUACGGGAGGCAGCAGGGGGAAAUAUGGCACAAUGGGCGGAAGCGUGAUGUAGCAACGCCGGGUGCGGGAUGACGGCCUUCGGGUUGUAAACCGCUUUCGCAUGUGACGAAGAGGGAGUGACGGUAAUGGGUAAAGAAGCACCGGCUAACUACGUG
rnacentral:rRNA from 1 species